rnacentral:rRNA from 1 species
GACGAACCGUGCGAACGUUGUUCGGAAUCACUGGGCUUAAAGGGCGCGUAGGCGGGCUGUCCAGUCUGGGGUGAAAUCCCGCGGCUCAACCGUGGAACUGCCUCAGAUACUGACGGCCUCGAGGGAGAUAGGGGCAUGCGGAACUGUAGGUGGAGCGGUGAAAUGCGUUGAUAUCUACAGGAACUCCGGUGGCGAAGGCGGCGUGCUGGAUCUCUUCUGACGCUGAGGCGCGAAAGCUAGGGGAGCAAACGGG